rnacentral:rRNA from 1 species
GCUCAGCCCUCAACCAAGACAGUACCACAACCCACUGUCCGCCAGAGAAUUACGAGCGAAAAGCUUAAAACUCAAAGGACUUGACGGUGCCCCACAUCAACCUAGAGGAGCCUGUCCUAUAAUCGAUAAUCCACGUUACACCCUACCUGCUCUAGCACAAACAGCCUAUAUACCGCCGGCUGCUGCCUGCCCCACAAUGGACUACCAGCAAGCACAAUAGCCCCCGCUAAAACGCCAGGUCAAGGUGUAGCAAAUGAGCAGGAAGAGAUGGGCUACAUUUUCUAACCUAGAAAACACCCACAGCACCAUGAAAUAUGGGGCCAGAAGGCGGAUUUAGCAGUAAGCUGGGCAAUGCCUGCCCAACUGAAACACUAUGCCCUGGGGCACGU